CUCGAUAAUCCACGUAUACCCAACCUUCUCUAGAUAACUCAGCAUGUGUACUGCCGUUGUAAGCAUACCUUUAAAAGAUAAGUAUGCCGCCAUGACUAAAUAAUUAGCCCAUGUACAUCAGGUCAAGGUGCAGCCAAUAAGAAGGUGAUGAUGGGUUACAACCCUAAAAAAGACUAUCAACUAAGAAAUUAAAAAUCUUACGAAAGUGGACUUGGCCGUAAUUAAUUUAUAAAUUAAAAAAAUGAAUAUAACCUAAGACAUGCACACAUCGCCCGUCACUCUACCCCAAAGGCUAGAUAAGUCGUAACAAAGUAGGUGUAAUGGAAAUUGCACCUGUCGAAGUAUAGCAUAUAUAAUGCUUUUUACUUACACUAAAAAUAAAGUUAGACAACUUACUCCGCACAAUAUAUAAAAUCUUUUAACUAAUCAAUUAAUAGAAACAACUAAAUAAUAAAUUAAAUAAAAAGUACAGAAAUGGAAAUAAUAAUAAAUAAAAGUAACUAUUAACAAUUGUACCUUGUGCAUUAUGGUUUUACAAGAAAACAAUUAAACACAUAAAUCCCGAAUUCUAUAUGAGAUGUCAAACUGCUGUUAAGAACCUACUAUUAGCUGUAGAAAAAGCUUUAAAAGACAGUUUGACAGAGGCUACAUACCAUCCGCAUAAGAAUAUAGCUGGUUUUCAACAAACAUUAUACAUUAAGACAUAUAAUUACAUUAUAGUGUAAUAUUAUUGAGGAUAAGCCCAAUAACCCAAGCAAUACAUGAAACCAAUCCAACAAAUUAUAUAGGCCUAAAAACAGCCAAAUAAAAUACUUUACCGUAAAAUAUGUAGAUAUAAUAUAUACUGUAAACAUGCCAAACAGAGUUGAAAUAAUGAAUAAACUAAAUACUUCAAUUAUAAUAUGUAAAAAUAAGUAUUAAAUAAUAAAUAAAGACUAUAACCUAGAAUAAACAACACCUAAAACAACAAUAAUUAAUUAAGGAACUCGGCAAACAAUUAUUUCGACUGUUUAACAAAAACAUUGUCUCAUGAAUAAAAUAUGAGAUAA
rnacentral:rRNA from 1 species